rnacentral:misc_RNA from 1 species
UCACGCCCGAAGUCGUUACCCCAACCGUAAGGGGGGGGAUGCCUAAGGUAGGACUGAUGACUGGGGUGAAGUCGUAACAAGGUAGCCGUACCGGAAGGUGUGGCUGGAUCACCUCCUUUUAGGGAGACCUAAUCCAUUUAGAAAUCGAAAACAAUGAAAAUUGUCAAUAGAAACUAAAGUGGUCUAACCUAGGUCGUUCGAGAUUGGUAGAUAUCUUUCAAAGUAUUAUUCGGCUUCGUUCAAAACCAUAUAUAAAUGGAAAAAGACAGCACCUAAUUGUCAAAGUUAGACUGCUGGAUGAAAUUCCAGCCAGAACCUUGAAAACUGCAUAAGAGAACGAGAAAAAGCAGGCAGACACAGACAUUUAGAUGGAUGUGGAAGCAAAGAAAAAUUGUGGUCAAGCUAAUAAGGGCUAAUGGUGGAUACCUAGGCACACAGAGGAUACCUAGGCACACAGAGGAUACCUAGGCACACAGAGGAAGGGC